rnacentral:lncRNA from 1 species
UUUGUAGUUCUCCUUCAAGAGGUCCUUCACAUCCCUUGUAAGUUGGAUUCCUAGGUAUUUUAUUCUCUUUGAAGUGAUUGUAUACACAUAAACUUAUGGACACAUGAGUGAUAGUCAAAUUUCAAUCACUAAUGUGGCAUGAGCACUGACCCACCAGAAUGGCCAUGGUAAUUCACCAUGGAGCAGUAUUGCAUCAUCCUGAGUGAGAGUGAAGAAGAAUUGAGGUAGAGGGAAACUGAUAGAUGUGUUUGAGAUUUUAAAAUUAUUUCUCAAACUUUUACACCAAAAUAUAUCCUGGUACAUGUGCAACUUCUAUGGCUCUGUCAGACUCAUUUAAUAGGAAACUACCCACAGAAGAAAAUAAGGAAAACGAAUUCUGUAGGUAGAGAAAUGUAAUGACUAAGAUUUUAAAUGUUAUGACUAAGAUACAUGUUUAGUUGAUAAAAAUUAAUAAAAAUAAGAAACUUUCCUUCCUAGGGCAGCAUAAGAUCAUUUCAGAAUGAAGAUGCUUUGGGAUCUGACUUCGGACUGUAAGAAUGACAAACUCUGAAUGGGUGCAAAGGUAGCAGAUGACCUUCAAAGGAUGGUGAGAUUAAAUUUACCUACACCUAGAGAAAUAAUUGGAGCACAUGUCUAUUUGGGCCAAGAGGAUAAAGGCCAGUAGAGGAAUCAGAUCAAAGAACUUCCUCAGGGAAGUGUGCAGAGAACUGGAGUGGACCUUCCCCUAGGAAGCUGCCCAAAACGAGAGUGCUGGAAAGCUGGCCGCAGUGAGGCACUUCAGAUCCCAAGGGUAUGCUGGGGAAGCUGCCACAGGUGGGAGCACUUGCUGCUGGACCCUAGGCACUGUUGAAACAACUGCACCAUCUGCAGGAGCCCAGCAAGAGAUGAGUUUUUGGAUUCAACUGAAGCCCUUGCUAUCUGCUAGAGUCAGAGUCAUCACAAUUGGGGGGUCUUCAUUAAGCUACACUUUUUAAUGGAACAUCCUAGUGAGGUUUGAGAGUACAGCUUUAUGGUCUAUAUUACAUUACUAAGCCGAUUUUAUUGGGUUAGUCUAUACGUUUUACAAAUUUGUUAUUCUAAUCUCCCCGAAGAAAUAAUUUCCUUAUUGAUCCCUUUCUUUUUCCCCCAUUUUAUUUUCCCAUAUUUUGUGAUAUCCUCUACUUCAACUUUAAAAAAUUAUAACCAUAGAAAGAAAUACAUUUUACAUUAUGACCCAGUGUGUAUACUCACAGAAACAUAUUCAUAUAGAAAACAAGUUUCACGAAACAAUACUUCCUCUGUACAGUGCACUUUGGUGUUGUUAUUGUGUUCUAUUCUAUUCAUUUUCUUCCAUCCUACUAUGUUAUAAAAGUUGCUCUUUUACAAAUCUGUAAUUUGAUCUUAUGACCCACUGACAUGUCUCAACAUACCAUUUGAAAAUUAUUGCUAAACUGUACUUUCUCACUAGUGAUAUUGUACAUCCAGGGUUUAUGAUUGUGUUCAAGAGAAUUCUUGUCUUUGUAAGGCAAAAAUGGCAAAUAUGUCUAUUUCCAUCUAAAAGAGCAUUAUACAAAAUAAAAUUAUUAAGAGUUUCCACUUAAUAGCUGCACUGUUUAGAGCCCACUGGAAGCACAUCAAGUGAGUAUGCAUGCCAAUUAAUGAAAACCAGAUAAAUUAUAUGAUUCAGUUACUCAUUUUGUUAACUACCCAACACAGUGAUGAUGAACACCUUGAUUGUUUUGACUGUUAUGAAGUAAUUUCUGCACAUCUGCCUCACCAGAUCCAUAAUUUACAUUCAGCUCCCUCACCAGAUCCAUAAUUUACAUUCAUCUCAUUAUAUGAGGCAUCAUGAUUACCACUAAUACAUUAAAAACCAACUUAUAAAAGAAAAUAAAAUUUUAAAUUGUAUUCAGUUUAUAUUUUAUUUACUGGGACUAAACACUUCAUAGCAACAAUGUGUUAUUUUUGAGAAGUGUCUAUACAUAGUAGUGUAAACAUUUAUUUUAAUUAUCAUUAAGAAUCAAAAAAUGAAGAGUAUCUAAAUAAUCCAAUUGAUAUUUUAAGGAAUAAAAAUAUAAGAAUUACAAACAUCAGAUCAUGAAGUUAGUUUUGGUCCAUUUUUGAUUCCACAACACAUUGUUAAAAUGUCAAUGAAAAUAUUAAUAUUCAUUUGGUAUAAGACCAAACAAAAGUAAUUUAUAAAUACAUUUUCUUUUAUUUACAUAUUUAAAUGAAAGGGACUAUCACCUUUAAAAUGGGAAAAGCCUAAAUAUCUCUUUCUUUCUGCCUCUUCCUCCCAUCCUUCUACCCUUCUGUCCUCCAUCUCCAUCUGUUUAUGUACAAAGAAGUUAACUGGCCUAUUCUACACCUCUUGAAAGAUGUAUGAACCAUCAUUUGUUUAUUUAAAUGAGUCCUUGGUAGUUCUAACCCUGGAACAUAUUCUACAGAGUUGCCAGUGCAAAAUAUAGCACAAUGACUCAUCAGCACCUAAAAUUUGUAGCAUCUGCUUGGUGAAUUUUGAUUUGAAACUCGUACUUGAUAUUGUGUUUCUUUUCUGUUCACCAUGUGUUAAUAUGUGUGGUGUAUUUUCCUCCAUAAGCAGUUAACAGUUUCUAAUGUGGAUACUUCAGUUUCAGGGAUGAUUGCCCAUCUCCCUGAGGUGCCCAUUAGGGUGCCCCAAUGAAUCCCAUAGUGUUGUAUAGUUUGCAUUUUAAUUCAGCUAAUCCAAAACACGUUCUCCAAAUUCGGUGAAAGUCUGUUCAGAUAUUUCUUUUAUGAUGUUGAAGUCAAUAAUUUUAUUUAAGUUACCUGUAAGAUAAUAGACUUUAGGUAUUAUAUAAAUUAAUUACAUAAAAUGAUCUUAAAUAAUAUGCUGACAUAAUUUUUUUUACUUAAAACUCUUGUUUUGUCCUAUGUAAUUCAAAAGUAACAAAAUGAUUUAAAAAUUCUGUUUUUUCAAUCCUUUAUUAUUAUUCAAGAGUUUGAGUGUCAAAGUCAGUCUACACUUCUGUAAAGAAAUAUAAAAAUCAGUGGUGUAUUUGGCUACAGGUAAUCUGUUCUUGGCUCCAACAUUACUAAACAGAUGACUGGAUGUGUGUGUGUGUGUGUGUGUGUGUGUGUGUGUGUGUGUGUGUCUAGAAGCUGAGGCUAACAGGAGAGGGUAAUUGCCCAUAAAAGUGAAAUAAAAAGCCAAAAUUCUUCUCUUAAGCUUAAGCUUUUUCCCUCCUUAGCAUUACUUCAUAAGAAAUGUAGCAGUGGAAACAUAAGGUUGGCAUGUUUAGAAAAUUCAAUCAUAAAUAAAAACAUUGUGUGAACUGGUUUUUAGUUUUGAAUUAACCUGGGCAAAUUCAGCUGGUUACUCCUUUUCCCUUUUUCCCAGUUUUCAAAGUUAAAAAAUUUAUGACUCUCAGGCAAAGAUAGUGUGAACUCAUGUCAAAGAUUUUAUUUAACUUAAUCCAUGAGGGAACCCAUAAAAUGUUAAAACUUGUAUAAGAAUUUGAGAAGCUACACACACACACAUACACACACAUGCACACACACACACUCUCACACAUUUCAUAAAAGAAUAUUAGGAUAAGAUUUCUCGAUACAAAACUGUUACCUUUGGGGUUAUCUCUCCGCCAGAAAGAACUUGUUUGCAUCCCUGCUAGACAAAAACCUACAAGUUAACCUUUGCCCGUAUGGAGUUGUAAAACAGACCAGUUGAUAGAAAGAGAAGCCUGCUUCCCGAAGCCCUCAGCAGAAGCCGAGCAGAUGUUGGCACCAUGCUUCUUGUACAGCCUGCAGAACUUGAAGAAACACUCCAUAUUAGUUUUCUGGAGCCAUCGUUAUGAAGCAACACAGACUGGGUGGCAUAAACAAUGGAGAUUUAUUUUUUCACAAUUCCGGAGGCUAGAAGUUUGAGAUCAAGGUGUUGGAAAGUGUCUCAGGAUGAUACAUACCGGUUUUUAACUUUGGUGUCAUCAAAUGCAAUUGCAAUGUGACUGUUUCUUGAAAGCCCGAACUGCUUGCUCCCUAUCAAAAGAGCUGGUUCUGAUUCUGCAGCACAAGGACCCUGUAAAAUACCCAGGAGAGAAAAACAGGAGAUUAUGGACUGUUCUUUAAAAAGUGCAAGGAGCACAUUGCUCAACCAAUUCCAUCGUGGACACUAAGGAAGAGAAUGAGAUAUUCAAGAGUUUUCAAGAUCUGCACUCAAGACAACAUUGCCCACCCAUUACUGGUAUGGAAUAUAACCACAACACAUGAGCUGUAAAGAGUGUAGUGACUGUGACCAUCUUUGUUGUAUUGGUGAUAAGAAUGUAAAUUGGCAUAGCCUGUGGAAGAAACAAUUCAGGUAUGUGUAUUGAAAACCUUAGACAUAUUCAUCUUUUGGCCUUAUAAUUUCCUAACUACUUAUCUAUUUUAAGAAUAACUGGAAAUAAUGAAAAAGCUUGAUGCAUAGAGGAGCUCAUCAGAGUAUAGUUUCUAAUAGUGAAAAACUGGAAACACUCUCAAUAGCCUACCAUGGUCUAUUAAAAGUAGAAUAAAUUGGAAAGGCAGAGUGUUCCAGAGAUAAGGAGUCAGACUUUGGAGUCUGACUCGCUAGAAUAAAAUUCUUACUCUGCCUUUUACUAGUGGUGUGAGUGGGUUGGUUGCUUAAGAUAGCUAAUUCUUAUUAACUCGACUAAAAGUAGAAAGACUAUAUUUUACAGAGCCGUUAUGAGAAUUACAUAUAAUAUUGAAUGAAAAUUGUUUAGCCCUGGGCUGGUGAAAGUACUCAUUAUUAUCAUUACUACAUAGUACUUAUGCCAUUUAUUAAACGUUCAGUAUAUGUGAGUCAUUGAACAAACAUUAUCUUUUAAAACUCUGAUACAAAGUCUUUGAUGUCUGUGCUGUUAAUAUCCUCAUUUGACAGAUGAGGAAACAGAAAUAGUCUAUGGCCAAAUCACCCUGAAAGCAUCCGAUCUUUUCUGAUCUCAAAAGCUAAGCAGGGUUGGGCCCGGUUAGUACUUGGAUGGGAAACUGAGAAAUAGAUUGGACAGGUAGCUUUCCCAAAUUCACACAGAUGGUCGGUUACAGUGCUGGGAUUUGAAUACCAGCAGUCUGACUUGAGCCCAUGCUCUAAUCAAGGCUAUAUGACCUCCAAUACUAUAAAAUAGUUGUGUGUCUCUGUGUGUAUAUAUACUUAACAUAAAAUCAUAUUAGACAUACACAUUUAUAUGAUGUUUAGAUACAGUUUUUAUUUAUUUAUUUAUUUUUAUUUUUUGGAGAUGGAGUCUCGCUCUGUUGCCCA